CAGCACUGUCCUGAGGCGAUGCUGUUUGAGUUUUGUUUGUGUUUCACUGCACAGUGCACGUUCUGAUAUAUUUAAUAAUGAUGAUACGACCAAGGCCAUCUAUAGAGAUACGACUAUCCUGCAUAGAGUAAGAAGAUGGAUUUGCUUCUCAAAUCAUAGCAAACCAGCAAUCAAGAGGCUUUCAGACGGUGGCACCAUGCUGGACGAAGCCUCCUUCCUGGCACUGCAGGAGUGCGCGCUCCGCUCGCGCUGGGACGAGCUCUGUGACGUGUUCCUGACACCGGAGCCGUCGGCGCCGCGUCGCAUCGGCUUCCCGCGCUUUCUGCUGUCGUGGCUGCGUCCGGACGGUCCGUGGCCGGCCGGCGGCGGCGUCGUGCCGGUGGCCUGCUCGGCGCGCUACCUGAGCGCCGCCCAGCGGGUGUUGCGCGCCGCCGCCGACGACGCCGACCGGCUGGUGGUGGAGACCAGCGAGCGGCGCGCCGGCCGCUUCUCGCUGCGUCUGACCGAGGCGGGCAUGGAGGCAGCCGUGGCAGCCUGUCUGCGCGCGCCGCCGCCGCUGCCGCCCUGCGCCGUUGUGUUCGCCGCUGGCCGGCGCGCGCUGCCGCUGCCUCCUCUGGCGCUGCUCUCGUUCUCGAGUCUGCCGCCGCCGCAGCGGCUGUCGGACGGUGCGCUGCUGCUGCCCGCCGCGCCACCAGAGGCCGUGCAGCGACUGGUGGCGCUCCUGCAGCGGCCCGCCGGCGGAGCGCGGCUGAACGCGACCCAGGCGGCGCCGCUGGUGGAGCUGUGCCGACGGCUCGGCGCCGGGCGACUCGCCGCCCUGCUGCUGGCGGUGGAGGUGCCUCUCACACCGGGCGCCGGGAGCGACUCGGUCCUGCCCCCGCCAGUGUUGUCGCCACUGCCGCCCGAUCGGAGGCCGGCGCCAUACAGCGAAACUGUACGGUGCCGGCGCGGCUGCGGGCUACCAGCCGAGGCUCUGCUUCUGCUACGGGCCGGCGUGGGUACCAGCGUGACCCUGUUGCCCGCCGGCGGAGUACCAGUCAGCGCGCACAAGCUGGCGCUCUGUAUGUACUCGCCACUGGUCAGACGGACGUUCGAGACUCUAGCGGCCGCCGCUCUGGAUCCGGGGGAAGUAGAUGCUGGUGACGGUGCUGCCACGGCGGCCGACUGCGCGGACGAUGUGUCGGUACGAUCUCGGUCGCUCAGCGGGGAUUCUGCGACCGUGCGUCUCCCGGCCAGUCUCGCCAGUCCGGACCGGCUCGUGCUGCCGACGCUGAGCGCUGAGGAUCUCCAUGGUGUGUUGGACUACAUUUACGGCGGGGAGACACCGGCGGCGCCCUCUGCUGAGCAGUUCAGACGGCGGCUGUCCGCCUGGAUCGACUUCAAGCUCCUCCCGAUGGAAAAAAUGGACGCAGACGGGUUGGGCGCGACCGAGACGCCGGCGCCGAAACCGAGGCGCGCUGGCCGACGGAGGACGAUGACCGAAACUCAGUCGCCGACGGAGAGCUACGCACAGACUCGGCCGCGGAAACGGCGUAAUACGACGCCGGCCGAGCCGCAUCGGCCGCCGCCGCAGCCGCCGCUGCCUGCGGAGGUCGUCAGUGAGGUCUCGCCGGCAGGUCCAGUGGUUGAGGAGCAUCCUCGCGAACCACCGGUUGACGCCGAGCUGAUUGUGUAUGUGAAUCCAGGGAGCGUCCGCUCAGCGGUCAUCGCUGGCUCACCGGUUGUGGCGCUCGCAGUAGACCGGCCGAUGGAGGGUAGGGAAUUUUCGGCGGCAGGUGCGUCCCGACUGGUGCCGCCGGCUGAUUCGAAUGUUUCUGAUCGUGUAAGUCAGCUCGACUCCAGCACUGAGGAUUUGAUGACUGGACUCGCCACGAUCGCACCUCUGGACGCCGACCUGACGAUCACAGCCGUUCCUACGAGCCGAUGUCCCCCGCUGCCGGUGCCCCCUCCGCCGCCGUUGGCAACAGAAGACCCGGACGACCCCGACUACAAACCAGGCGUAAAGUCACCGAUGGCGCUGCAGCGACCUCGGCGGCGCGGUCGACCUCGGCGCUCGCUCGCUGCAGAGCUCGAUGCGACACCUAGCCCCGUGGAGAAGACCGUCCCUGCUGCAGUAGACAAACCCGCGCAGUCUGGGACUACCACUGGCCUUCAUGACUGCGAGCACUGUGGUAAAAGGCUGUGUAACGCCACUGCUCUAGCGGAUCACGUGCGCACACAUACCGGUGAAAAGCCGUUUGUUUGUGAGGCGUGCGGUAAAGCGUUCUCCUCGCUGCCAGGUCUGCGUCACCACGAGCGGACUCACGGAGACUCAGAGAAGGAUUGUGUGUGUGACGUCUGCGGCAAACUCUUUACCCGCCACGGUCUGUGGUCUCAUCUCAAAACGCACAGCAAGCCGUUCCUGUGUGUCGUGUGCGGGCAGAGCUUCUCGUCCAAACAGCACCUGAAGAACCACCAGGUGUCUCAGCACGAGCCGACCGCCGCCGAGCACGUGUGUCACGAGUGCGGCCGCGCGUUCACCCAGAGGGUGCACCUGGUGUCACACAUGCGGCUGCACAACAGCGACCGCCGCAAGUUCUGCGAGAUCUGCCAGCGGACCUGGCCAUCGGCGGCUUCCCUGCGCGACCAUCAGGCGCUCAAACACGGUGACACCGGGACUAUCAAGUGCGACCAGUGCGACAAGACGUUCCGCAAGCUGAGCUCCCUGCGUUACCACCGGCGGGUCCACACGGGGGAGCGGCCCUUUAAGUGCUCGUUCUGUGAUAAGACCUUUAACCGGCCGGAUAACCUGCAGUUGCACAUGCGCCGACACACAGGAGAGCGACCUUUGCACUGCUCACACUGCAGCAAGUCGUUCAUCUCGAAAACGGCGCUCAACAAACACAUGUCUAUCUACCACCGUAAGGAAAGUGAAGCCACGCCGUCGUCAGACCCUCAGGAGAAGCAGCAGCCGACUGCGGAUGCUCCUGCCGAACAGACGGGAGCUCCUGCUCCUAAGGCGGCGUCGGCGCGGGGCCGGCGGCGGGUGGCGGUCCGGCCGGUGUCUGCCGCUCCCGCCGCCGUCCCGUCCCAGCCUCAUCCCCCGCCACAGGAGCCGCCGCAGCACCAGCAGGCCGUCCAGGUGGAGACGCUGUCCGUGGACCUGCCGGUGUGCCUGCUGGAGGAGACGGCCACCGGCGAGCAGACCUUCACCGUGGACCUGCAGUCCAGCGAGCCACAGUUCGUGUCGUACCUGACAUAGCGCUGAGCCGUGCCUGACGGGAUAGCCUCGUACAUCAUACCAUGUUCAUAUAGCAGCAUGCCACUUAUCGCAUUACCGACCUAGCACGAAGACGAGGGAUCGUGACAGCAUAUUCAGUGUAGUACAGUACUGUGCCUCAGCCUCCAUGACUGACGUAUCCUACUUCAACCCGACGUAACCCGACGCAGUAGUAAAGUAAUCUAAGUAAUCUUGUACGCAAUAACCUAUUCCGGUUCCGAAUUCGUCUGACAUAGGACCCGUGAACCUGCUAGAUAAGUUUGUUUUUCAUGGACAGCCUUGGCUCGUAAUGUGCAGCUGUAAAGCGGUGUUGUGAGUGUGAGUUACUCGACAGGCUGUGGUCACGUCUGAUGUGACCGGUGGCGGGCGGGUGUGUCCGCCCUUAUCGCCGAGUAUCCGCGGCUGUGUGCGUUGCGGAGCGCCGCUGGAGGCACUGCGUCCUGUGGUGAUGAUAUCAGUCGCUGAUGGCGGCGGAGGCACACCGCAAACCGCUGCGCGCGCUGCGUCUAGUUGGAUCUGAGCGCGGUGACUGCGAGCGCGCACUUGUCGGAUGGAAAUGUGAGUGCUCGUCCACUGUCGUCUUUCCAAUGCUUGCCUUAAAGUGUUUGUUUCAUGUAGCGAUGCUUGAGAUGCUCAAAAUUGACUGAAGGGCACGUUUAUUUUCAUCUGCUAACUUUCAUCAGCUAGCUUUCUGUUCAUUACAUUUGCCUUGUGUCGUGUCUUUUUUUACAUCAUUUACCUACAUGAUUCACUCUUGUCGCUGUUGGCGCGCUGCUUGCUUUGACUUAUGUAUUAAUUUCGUCCCAACUGUUGUUCUGAAAGUCUUGUUGCGUGCUUCCUCCAUGCUAACUGGUCUUUAAGAUCUGUUCUUGACACGCUAAUAUGGAACGUUUUCGAUGCAAUACAAACAUUGAUGUGCAAA